AGUGAACGCUGGCGGUAGGCCUAACACAUGCAAGUCGAACGGCAGCACAGUAAGAGCUUGCUCUUACGGGUGGCGAGUGGCGGACGGGUGAGGAAUACAUCGGAAUCUACUUUUUCGUGGGGGAUAACGUAGGGACACUUACGCUAAUACCGCAUACGACCUACGGGUGAAAGCAGGGGAUCUUCGGACCUUGCCCGAUUGAAUGAGCCGAUGUCGGAUUAGCUAGUUGGCGGGGUAAAGGCCCACCAAGGCGACGAUCCGUAGCUGGUCUGAGAGGAUGAUCAGCCACACUGGAACUGAGACACGGUCCAGACUCCUACGGGAGGCAGCAGUGGGGAAUAUUGGACAAUGGGCGCAAGCCUGAUCCAGCCAUACCGCGUGGGUGAAGAAGGCCUUCGGGUUGUAAAGCCCUUUUGUUGGGAAAGAAAAGCAGCAGGUUAAUACCCCGCUGUUCUGACGGUACCCAAAGAAUAAGCACCGGCUAACUUCGUG
rnacentral:rRNA from 1 species